rnacentral:lncRNA from 1 species
GUCAAUUCUCGUGAACAUCGUGCUUAGUAUGAAGCCUUUAGGGCUUGAUGCAAUUCAUUUUCGUAUUCUGACUAUCGUUAGGCUAUGUUUUUCAAACGUUUUUGGCAGAUUUUUUCGUUUAAAAAUUGUUUCACUCCUCAGUUUUUGCCGCGAAAACCAGAGCGGGCAGUUGCAUUUCACAGCGGGCAGUUGCGUUUCAGAGCGGGCCGGAUGCAAAAAACCGGCCCGCUCUGAAAGGCUCCUCAGCCAAUCAGAUUGCUUCAUUUUCACUGA